rnacentral:rRNA from 1 species
AUGGCGACCGGCGCACGGGUGCGUAACGCGUAUGCAACCUACCUUUUACAGGGGCAUAACACUGAGAAAUUGGUACUAAUUCCCCAUAAUAUCUGAGACGGCAUCGUUUUGGGUUGAAAACUCCGGUGGUAAAAGAUGGGCAUGCGUUGUAUUAGCUAGUUGGUGAGGUAACGGCUCACCAAGGCGACGAUACAUAGGGGGACUGAGAGGUCAACCCCCCACAUUGGUACUGAGACACGGACCAAACUCCUACGGAAGGCAGCAG